GGCCACAUUAUCCAGUAGGAGGUGCACUACUCGUGCACUGUGUUCAACCAUUCAGUCAAUCACAAGUGCUGCUGUGAAGAGAACAAUUGUCAGACUGAAUGUUGAACAUCAGCUAGUUUCUCCUGUUGAUUUAAACCUUGUUGUAGAGAUGGAACAUUGGCUGUGGAUUAUUCUUGCUGCUCUUUUCUUUGAGUGUAAAGGAGAAGACAGAGUUACCCAGACAACAGGAGAUGUCAUCGCUACUGAAGGACACACACUCACACUGGACUGUACAUUUGUGACUAGUUACAGUCCCACUUUGUUCUGGUACAAACAGGAAGUUCAGGAUUCCCCAAAGUACAUGCUGAAAAGUUUCUCAAACAACGUAGAUAAAGCUCCAGAGUUCCAGAAAGACAGAUUUGAUGCUAGAAUCAACAAUAAAUCAGUUCCUCUGAAGAUCCAGAAGCUUCAGCUGUCAGACUCUGCUGUGUACUACUGUGCUCUGCAGCCCACAGUGACAGGAAACACCUAAACUCUGUACAAAAACCUUUGGAGCAAAGACAACAUAAUACUCCACAACGUCCACUAGAGGGAGUCACACUCUGUUCCACUUCAACAGGAGCUGAUGAUCCAGUCUAGAUUGUUUCCCCUCAUGAGUCAGUUGUGAUGAAGACCUUUAGAGAUGAAACUUAUCUGAAUAUGAGUCUCCUCCUGACUGCACAAGUGGCUUCAUAACAGAGAACUGUUUGAUUCCAGAUGUGAACAUCAGACCAAACACAACUCACUGAACUUUUUAUUACUGAACAUUCAGUUGCAAGAUUUCACCUCCGUCAACAUGGAAAAACUGGCUGCUAUUCUGCUCUGUUCAACUCUCGUAGGUACGGAUGUUUCUGACAAUAAAACCUGAAAUAUCAGUUCACAAUUUAACGUUUCAAAGACACAAAUCUGGACGUCAUCACUUCAUCACUAAUAACUGCUCAACAAUAUAUCUGAGUGCAAG